UUUGCUUCUUUUUUGGGUUACCUUUGUAUUAUGAGAUUCUGAGACCUGCAGAUCUAGGAUGGUGUAAGAGGGCUUUAUGUUUGAGCACUGAUGCUAUAAUAAAGAACUAUUACCUAGUUUCCAAGCAUAUUUUGCUCACGAACUUCUAUUGGGUAUUAUGUCUUUACUUGUUCUUGCACACAUAUAUUCAUACUUACACUUUCAUGGUUUAUGUUUGACGUUGAUGGAAAAACAUUGUUUUUAGUUUUUAAAAGUAAAGCAUGGAAAGAGAGAAAUGGUCAAGACCUGAUUAGAUUUCAGGUUCCUGAUACAUUUUUACGUUGGUUUGAGUCUGGGGAACUUAUUUAUUAUGUAGCUCCGAUACUUGAUUCAUUUUUACUCUAGUUUGAGUCUUGGUAUUUAUUUAUUAUGUAUUGGUUACGGAAGUCUUAUUUUGAUUCCAGGAAUUGUAUAUGAACCUCGCGAGUCCCCCAUGGGUCCUUUAUUUAUGAUCCACAGUGUUGGAGGAGGCGUUAUGAUUGGAAUUGACCAUUGUAUCCAUUUCAGAAUGCAUUGCUCUCAUCAUUUAUAUUUUUGUACCUAUAUAAACUAUGUGUAUAUUAUAUAACUAUUGUAUGAAUCUUUCUCUUGAACCUUGGAUUAAUAGUUCUCCUUUCACCUUUAUUCUCAAUAAAGAUUUAGGUUUCAUCCACACAUAAUACUAUAUAAUGUUCUUCUGAUCUCAGUCACCUUAUGAUGCCUACUAAGAGUGUUUUGACCUUCAUACUACACUUCUGUAUUUUUUCUGAUGUAAAUCCUAGUAAGAAUCUUUGUUGCUGAUUUCAUACUCAUCAGGAGGCUAUAUUUUGAUCGAAUUUGGGCUUAUCACUUGUGUUCAGAGUUGAUCAAUUUCCCUUGUAGUGCUACUAAUAUCUUUAUUUGUGUUAUCGGAGACAGACCUAUAUGCUUACACUAUCUAGUACCGCUCUUAUAUUAGAAACUCUUGCACUAGUGGUAUCAGGUAUCAAGUAUGAUUUGGAUAUAUAUUUUGUUCUUUUCUUCUACUACUUAUGAGCCCUUAUUAUCGGUAUAUACAUAUAGUUGGCCCUAUUAUCCUGUUGUUGCCAUUUCUUCCAUUAGUUGUUACUUUUUUGUAUAUGGCUAUUGUGGUUCUCAUACCUACUGGAGAGUAAUAGUAUGUGCCAUCAUGACCUAAUUUUGGAUCAUGAAAGCAUAUGAUAUUUUUAUAAUAACUUGCUUAUUUUCAAAUAAUAUUUGUGAAAGUGAAAAAUUGUGAAUUUUCUAGGUAUUCUUUUUAUUAAGUCAUUUGCACCCCUCAAAAUAAAUACCUUUUUGUGUGUCAGUUAAAUAUAUAUUCAUAUUCAUAGUAUAAUAUUUCACAAGCAAUGUUUCAAUUAAUUUGAAACAUAAAAAUUACAAAUUACAAAUUGUAUUAUUAAAUAUUUUUGACACCUUUUGAGUAUUUCAUGAGAAUUGAAGAUGAAGCAUGCAACGAAACUAAACAAAAGAAGAGUUAUAUUAAAUUACUUGUUUUUCUUAUCUUAUUAGGACGAACUAUUACAACGUGUUGUACAAUGAUACGUUGUCAAUUUGAUGACUUGCUGGAACUUUUUAGGCUUACAUUAUAAUAUUUUUCCCAUUGAUUUGGUGUUAAUCUCAUGUAACGCUCAUUUAUAUAGGUAAAUAUUGAAAAAAAAUAAACAAGUCAUUCAAGUCAAUCGGAGGUCAAAUAUGAUAGAAAAGAAGCGUUAAAGUUCACAUGGACGUCGUGGGAGGCCACCUGCGCACAAGGAUGACCAAAAUGGACCAACAAGUGGCAUCUGUGCCCAAGGUGUGUCGUGUAUGCCAUGGAUCUACUCAAGCAGAUAAAGAGUACGACGACAUUUUGAUAAUAUCUGGAAAACGUGAAAUUGGGGUCAAAAGGGAGUUUUCAUCUCAUUUCCACCAUUAUUGAACCAUUAUUGUACUUUUCUUGAGCUAAGAAAUGUUGGAGAAACUCUCAAGUGAUGAAUUAGUAUUUUUUAUUGAAUAUUUAUUCAAAUUAAAGCUUGGAUAUUGUAUUCUCUUCACUUUUUAUGGAUCAAUUUGAAGGAAAUCAGGAUAUAUCUCUACUUUCUUUCUCUCUAUGAAUUGUUAAUUCUUCUUCUUG
rnacentral:lncRNA from 1 species